AUGCUGGGUGUAGAUCUCCUGCUUUGGCUAUGUUUAAAUAAGAACAAGCCUACACUACUACUUUCAGAAUAUUUCAGACUUCCUGAAGGCACAACUGCAAAUAAUUAUUUGCCAAGUCAUGAAGUUGGAUCAAUUGUGGGUAAACAUUUUCAAAUGAAAAAAGGCACAAGCAUUACAGCGUGGGGAAGCUUUUGUCACAAAGCUAAAGUCCUGGUCAUCAUCGUUGGGGUUGAAAUUGUUCCUCUGGAGUUACGUAGCACGGCAAGAUCAUUUCGGAGAACCAUUUGCCUGCUGAGUGUGGAGCUUGUACUAUUUAAGGAGGAAUAAACUCAACGCACAAUCAAUUUUGGUAAUUACCUGUUUGCACUAUUGCUUGUCCUUGAGUUUUCCCUAGAGAAGGGUCAAAUCAAGCUAUUUGGAUUCUUGGAGGGCAGGGGACAGUUAGCAGUUGG
rnacentral:lncRNA from 1 species